AUUCCAUGAUGUGGGCAUCUCCUUUGCAAUUCCUUAAAUCGUUCCCAAAAAGCAUCAUACAAAGAAUCCCCAUCUAGUUGAUGGAAGUUGUUAAUCUCUCAUCUAAUUCU